AGCUUAAUGCCUGAUUAAAAGGGUUACCUUGAUAGGGUAGAUAAUGUGGGAGUUCCCGCUUAAGCUA
rnacentral:tRNA from 1 species